GAUAAAUAUUAGCCUUUACUAGUACAUACUGUGCUCUCUAGAUUGAGGUCUUCAUAAACCACACAAUAUCCUUUUGUCUGUCUAAGCAGUAGAAACUUUCCAAUGGAUGGAGCGUUGCAGCAUGUAUUCUUAAUUACGCCUGGAAUAUAAAUCUGGCUCUGAUUGGUGACUGUGCAUUGUGCAAUAGCUGUAUUACAUCACAUGUCAACAUUCUAUUUGAAGUGUGAUGUCAC